UACGAAGGGGAGCUAGCGUUGCUCGGAAUCACUGGGCGUAAAGGGUGCGUAGGCGGGUCUUUAAGUCAGGGGUGAAAUCCUGGAGCUCAACUCCAGAACUGCCUUCGAUACUGAAGAUCUUGAGUUCGGGAGAGGUGAGUGGAACUGCGAGUGUAGAGGUGAAAUUCGUAGAUAUUCGCAAGAACACCAGUGGCGAAGGCGGCUCACUGGCCCGGUACUGACGCUGAGGUGCGAAAGCGUGGGGAGCAAACAGG
rnacentral:rRNA from 1 species